GGACCAGCACAUUGGGAAGCUCUAUAGAUCUGCAAUCUCUUCAUUCAUCUUCUUCUUGAUGGUGGAUGUAGGAGUUACUGGUGGAGGUGCAAACAAGGAGAAUGCAGCAGCUGUGAUUCAUGUAACAGCACAGCCUGUGUGGUUGACACCUGAGCCUUGGAACCUUUUGGUGACUCAAACACCAGCCAAGGAGAAAGCCAAAGAGGGUGAAACUGUGGCCUUGAACUGUCAUCUUAACAGUCCACAGCAUCCCUCCCUGACCAACCUGAUGGUGAAAUGGUACAAAGAAGAUGAAAAGGGGCAGAUGGACCUGCUAGAAAAGAAUGUGACCAUCCUGCCAAAUAAUUCCAGGAUCUUCAUGAGUGGAGACUUGUCCCAAGGGGAUGUUUCCCUGACUAUCCUCAAUGUGACAACCAGUGACCAUGGCAUUUAUUUCUGUGAGGUUACACUUCCGGACGGGAAGGUGGUGACCGGAGAUGGCACAAAGCUCAGGAUCAGGAGGGCUCUGGGCUUGUUUGGUAUAGAAGAAUCCAUUGGAACAAUCAUUGGGGUUGUGGCAGCUGGUAUUGGAGGCAUUGUGGUUCUGAUCGUUGUUCUAACCCCACAGCUGAGGAAGUGCGUCCUCUGCAUGAGACAGGAGUCUCACCAAAGAGCUUGAGGGUACAGCAUUACAGGAGUCGCUGGGAUAUGCGAAGCCUGCAGAUGGAACAACUUCUGAUACCCCAUAAACAAAAAAAAAUGGAGUUCUAGAUGGAAUAAAAGCCUUUGCCUCUA